GUUCAAAAUUCAGAUUCUUCCUGCCCUGGGGGAUACUUUCAUGGGGAAAAAAACACAGAACAAUAGAGAAAGAAAGGAAUUUUUAGGUAGAUUUUCAAAUAAACAUCGUUUGAAAAGGAAGAGCACUAACAUCAAUAUUCUUUGCAUUCAGGCUCCAGGAGCUACUCCCAUCCAAAAAAAUAGAAGUCAGAAAGCACUGAUGCAAAACCAGAGAAGGCCAAAGAGACUUCUUUAAGGAUUCAAAUGGAUUUGGAAAGCAUAUGUUUUUCAACUCUCAACAUGCCACCAGGCAAGGAGACUCUGCCUGAAGAAGUUAGUGGACAACACGCAGCCUGGAUAUCUCGGGAAUACAGACUCAGUGCUGAGAGGGUUGCCUGCAGAAACAGGAAAGCAUUACUCGAUUUCUCACCGUUCGCUUAUCUGCACAAGUGCUGGCCAAGAAUUUCAGCAGAAG